rnacentral:rRNA from 1 species
GGGCCCGCACAAGCGGUGGAGCAUGUUGUUUAAUUCGAUGCAACGCGAAGAACCUUACCGCCCCUUGACAUCCUCGGAACUUGGCAGAGAUGCCUUGGUGCCUUCGGGAGCCGAGUGACAGGUGCUGCAUGGCUGUCGUCAGCUCGUGUCGUGAGAUGUUGGGUUAAGUCCCGUAACGAGCGCAACCCCUAUCCUUAUUUGCCAGCGGGUCAUGCCGGGAACUCUAAGGAGACUGCCGGUGACAAACCGGAGGAAGGUGGGGAUGAGGUCAAGUCAUCAUGGCCCUCACGGGGCGGGCUACAAACGUGCUACAAUGGCGCGUACAAAGGGCUGCUAUCCCGCGAGGGGGAGCAAAUCCCAAAAAACGCGUCGUAGUCCGGAUUGGGGUCUGCAACUCGACCCCAUGAAGUCGGAAUCGCUAGUAAUCGCGGAUCAGAAUGCCGCGGUGAAUACGUUCCCGGGCCUU